rnacentral:rRNA from 1 species
GCUGGCGGCCAUGCCUAAAUACAUGCAAGUCGAGCGAAACUGACGGAAGGAACUUGUUCCUCUUGACGUGAGCGGCGACGGGGUGAGUAACACGUGGGAAACCUACCUUUCAGCGGGGGAUAACGUUCGGAAACGGACGCUAAUACCGCAUAACGUUAAUAGUCGCAUGACUAUUAAAUAAAAGACGGCUCUGCUGUCACUGAAAGAUGGACCCGCGGUGCAUUAGUUAGUUGGUAAGAUAACGGCUUACCAAGACGAUGAUGCAUAGCCGACCUGAGAGGGUGAUCGGCCACACUGGGACUGAGACACGGCCCAGACUCCUACGGGAGGCAGCAGUAGGGAAUCUUCCGCAAUGGACGAAAGUCUGACGGAGCAAUGCCGCGUGUAUGAAGAAGGUCUCCGGAUCGUAAAGUACUGUUAUCAGCCAAGAACAAUUCACAGAGUAACUGUUGUGGAUCUGACGGUAACUGAUCAGAAAGCCACGGCUAACUACGUGCCAGCAGCCGCGGUAAUACGUAGGUGGCAAGCGUUGUCCGGAUUUAUUGGGCGUAAAGGGAGCGCAGGCGGUGACUUAAGUCUGAUGUGAAAGCCCACGGCUCAACCGUGGAAGGUCAUUGGAAACUGGGUCACUUGAAUGGAGCAGAGGAGAACGGAAUUCCAUGUGUAGCAGUGAAAUGCGUAGAUAUAUGGAGGAACACCAGUGGCGAAGGCGGUUCUCUGGGCUCACAUUGACGCUGAGGCUCGAAAGCGUGGGGAGCGAACAGGAUUAGAUACCCUGGUAGUCCACGCCGUAAACGAUGAGUGCUAAGUGUUGGGGGGCUUCCACCCCUCAGUGCUGGCGUUAACGCAAUAAG